rnacentral:rRNA from 1 species
GCCUACGGGGCGCAGCAGUGGGGAAUAUUGCACAAUGGGGGAAACCCUGAUGCAGCGACGCCGCGUGAGGGAAUAAGGCCCUACGGGUCGUAAACCUCUUUUGCCGGGGAGCAAGGGCGGGGACGUGUCCCGGCCCGGAGAGUACCCGGAGAAAAAGCAUCGGCUAACUCCGUGCCAGCAGCCGCGGUAAUACGGAGGAUGCGAGCGUUAUCCGGAUUUAUUGGGUUUAAAGGGUGCGUAGGCGGGCUUUUAAGUCAGCGGUAAAAAUUCGGGGCUCAACCCCGUCCGGCCGUUGAAACUGGGGG